ACACCCUCAAUUCUCUGAUGCUAAAAUUUUACUUUAUGGCACUUAUUAUACUAUGGCAUGUAAUAAAGACUCUUGGAAUAUUUCUUUAAUGGAUUUCGAAUAAAAAUUUUCUCUUCCUUACCACACCUAUCAAAUGUUGCUAUUUCUCACUGUCCUAUCCUUUACCCACUGAGUACUGGGUGGUGCCACUCUCUCAUCUUUCACUCCAAAUUUUAUAUUGAUGACAGCAAGAUAAAUGUCACUAGUCCAAAAUACUUCCUGCUGGACCACUCUACUUGGAUUCCCCAUCAACAUUGUAGAACUAAAUUAAAAGGAAGUCACUUAUGUCAGGGACAAAAUGGAGACAGUCAAGCACGUGCAUAAACAAAAUUUAACGUAACCUGACUGAAAUGUAUGGCUCUGUUCUAAG
rnacentral:lncRNA from 1 species